AUGACUAUUCAGGUAUGGGAGAUUGCUAACCGGUUGCAGAUUGAACAUAAAAAUUUAUGGGUAUGGAAUAUCGGGGCAUAGUCAAUGGCUAUUCAGGUCUGCAUAAUUACUAUAUGUUAGUAAGACAAUUGGAAAUGAAUAGUGUAUUCAACGGCAGGUUAGGGCCUCAGGAUUUCAAAACAAAUCUGCUCCAGCAAUUAAAAAACUAAGUGAAGCUGCCUUCCGGCGACCACGAUUGGCAAGCCGAGAUCUGUGUAGUCUAUUUCCUGAUCUGGUCUUUUAGUGUCACUGGUUGACUGGUUGCUGAUCACGGUGAACUCUAAAACUCACAAAUUACCAUUCGAUUAUUACAUUUUCUACCACAGUUUUUUGUUAUACAGUGCACAUUAAUGCUCUGCUAGGAUUGUCUUGAUAAAUAGUAAAGGCAUUUGGAAAUUAAAUGGGUCAAAUGAGUCGAAUGAUUUGAAAGUUACCUUUUACCUGGCCUAUUUUUCUCAUAAUAUAUGUGCUUUUGUCUAAAAUGAAACGUGUCAGGUGACUUAACUGAAUCAAAAGUGGUUAAACUGUUUACAUUUACGGUGAACCAAAGGCGAACUGAAAAGAAUGCAGCCAUGUCUUCUUUGAUUGGAUGGUUAAACGUAACGGGUCAAAAUGAACUUUAAUUUUUAUAAUUUGUUUCAUUUGUUGAUGAGAGUUUGUGAAAAAGGCAUUAACAUGCUUAUUCCACUCAGGAUCAGCAAUAAGUGACACUAAAAGAAAGCACAUACUCAUAUCCAAAGGAAUGCAGUUAAAGUCGUCGACAACAACGGCACCGUCGGCGGCAUCAAAUGCAAAAAUGUCAUUGGAGUAGAGAAGCUGAUGGCGUCAAAGCUGAUGUCUCGACUAAUCAUAGAAUUCAUUUGCAUAGUUAGGAGGAUACUUUCUCAGAUUUUGUUCUACACAAAAGAAUUUUCUUGAUUUUGAUGGUCAGAUUUUUAAAUUUCAGUGUUUAUAGUGGACGAGCCGAUGGCAUGCUGCUGCUGCUUUUGGUGAUUAUAUAUUUGUGGCGGUCUACGUGGAGGUAACACU